ACACUACUCUCUUCUCCUCUCAGCGACCGACGACGACUCCUCCACAUCACGAAGAUCACAGCCGAUCGUUCAGUUUGGAACUCCGUUUUCCGUUGAUCUACACAAAAAAGUUCAGGGAAACCUAAAUAGGAUUUUGGUAAUCUGGCAUUAGCAGAGUUUAUGAAAGCAAUUUCAAUAGGGGGAAGAAUGGAAUGAUGGUUUGAUAAAGAGAUGCAGAGUUGGAGAAGAUAGAGCCCGUGCAUCCAUUAUUGGCGAUUAAAGACCUCUCACCAAGACUUGGACAUUGUCAAAUUAAAGUUCCAAAUGACUUCCUUUGAUUGCCGAGAAAUUGUGGUGGCAGUUGACAUCUACAACAGGCGCCACCAUCCAAUUCCUCAAACAUUUUACGUGUAAUUUUGCUCUUCUGAUAUUAGUCCAAUUGUGAACAACAUUAAAUAAUCUCUUUCUAGGUGAUAAAUCAAUUUCAGUUUUUUUUAUUUUCUUAUUACUGGUAUUGUCAAUACAAUUGCAUAUGCUUUGUUAA